UAGGGAAUCUUCGGCAAUGGGGGCAACCCUGACCGAGCAACGCCGCGUGAGUGAAGAAGGUUUUCGGAUCGUAAAGCUCGGUUGUAAGAGAAGAACGUGUGUGAGAGUGGAAAGUUCACACAGUGACGGUAACUUACCAGAAAGGGACGGCUAACUACGUGCCAGCAGCCGCGGUAAUACGUAGGUCCCGAGCGUUGUCCGGAUUUAUUGGGCGUAAAGCGAGCGCAGGCGGUUUAAUAAGUCUGAAGUUAAAGGCAGUGGCUUAACCAUUGUUCGCUUUGGAAACUGUUAAACUUGAGUGCAGAAGGGGAGAGUGGAAUUCCAUGUGUAGCGGUGAAAUGCGUAGAUAUAUGGAGGAACACCGGUGGCGAAAGCGGCUCUCUGGUCUGUAACUGACGCUGAGGCUCGAAAGCGUGGGGAGCAAACAGG
rnacentral:rRNA from 1 species